CCUGAAUAGUAUGCUCGCAAGAGUGAAACUUAAAGGAAUUGACGGGAACCCGCACAAGCGGUGGAGCAUGUGGUUUAAUUUGAAAAUACGCGUAGAACCUUACCCACUCUUGACAUCUUCUGCAAAGCUAUAGAGAUAUAGUGGAGGUUAACAGAAUGACAGAUGGUGCAUGGUUGUCGUCAGCUCGUGUCGUGAGAUGUUAGGUUAAGUCCUGCAACGAGCGCAACCCUUUUCUUUAGUUACUAAUAUUAAGUUAAGGACUCUAGAGAUACUGCCUGGGUAACCAGGAGGAAGGUGGGGACGAUGUCAAAUCAUCAUGCCUCUUACGAGUGGGGCAACACACGUGCUACAAUGGUCGGUACAAAGAGAAGCAAUAUGGUGACAUGGAGCAAAUCUCAAAAAACCGAUCUCAGUUCGGAUUGAAGUCUGCAACUCGACUUCAUGAAGUCGGAAUCGCUAGUAAUCGUAGAUCAGCUACGCUACGGUGAAUACGUUCUCGGGUUUUGUACAGAUCG
rnacentral:rRNA from 1 species